rnacentral:rRNA from 1 species
UACGUAGGUGGCAAGCGUUGUCCGGAAUUAUUGGGCGUAAAGCGCGCGCAGGCGGUCCUUUAAGUCUGAUGUGAAAGCCCACGGCUCAACCGUGGAGGGUCAUUGGAAACUGGGGGACUUGAGUGCAGGAGAGAAGAGUGGAAUUCCACGUGUAGCGGUGAAAUGCGUAGAGAUGUGGAGGAACACCAGUGGCGAAGGCGACUCUUUGGCCUGUAACUGACGCUGAGACGCGAAAGCUAGGGGAGCGAACGGG